rnacentral:rRNA from 1 species
UCUAUUCUUUUCAGAGGAAUCUGUCCCUUAAUCGAUGCUCCGCGUUGGACCUUUCUUAAUUUAUGUUUGUAUACCGCCGUUGUGGUGAGGGUCUUUUUAGUGUUGUUAAUUCUCUGGCUUCAUUAUUUUGAUUUAUUUCAGGUCAAGGUGCAGCUUGUUUUUAAGUGUGAGGUGGAUUACAUUGUGUUGUUGAUAUUUAUCGGAUUAUUGAUUGGAACUGUUGAUAUGAAGUUGGAUUUGGUUGUAAUUUGUUGAAGAUUGUUUGUAUGAUGUUGGUUCUAGAAUAUGCACACAUCGCCCGUCAAUAUUA